rnacentral:snoRNA from 1 species
UGCCAGUGAUGCAUUCAAAAUUGCACGUAUUAUCAGAUAUGAGGAUGAUGAUAAUGCAACAUUGUCACUACCUCUGAGGCA